rnacentral:rRNA from 1 species
GACGAACGCUGGCGGCGUGCUUAACACAUGCAAGUCGAACGAAGUGGCGAACGGGUGAGUAACGCGUAAUCAACCUGCCCUUCAGAGGGGGACAACAGUUGGAAACGACUGCUAAUACCGCAUACUGAAGGAGGGGCUUGCGUUUGAUUAGCUAGUUGGAGGGGUAACGGGCCAACAAGGCGAUGAUCAGUAGCCGGGCUGAGAGGAUGAACGGCCACAUUGGGACUGAGAAACGGCCCAGACUCCUACGGGAGGCAGCAGGGGGGAAUUUUCCGAAAUGGAGGAAAGUCUGGCGGAGCAACGCCGCGUGAGUGAUGACGGCCUUCGGGUUGUAAAGCUCUGUUAAUCGGGACGCGGUACCGGAAUAGAAAGCCACGGCUAACUACGUGCCAGCAGCCGCGGUAAUAC